GUGAGUGCAAAGAAAUUGAGCAGCCACACGAACCUUUUUACGCGAGAUGUAAUGACAACCCAAGCACCACGUUCCGGUUACUCAGCCCGAUGUACAACCCCAAUUUUUCACUCUUAACAUUCGUAUCAGAGGAGUUUUUUUUUUUUUGCAUUCAAAAAUUUGACAUAUGAUAAAAAGUAGACAGUCAAGCAAACUUAUAAUUCCCAAAAAUUUCUUACCCACUAAGUCUAGGUUAUUGAAAAGUUUCAUGUGUAAAGAAUUAAAUAGCUAAAUAAGUCAAACCAUAAGUGUACCAUCCCAAUUUAAAAGAAUAAUUUUACCUUUUACCAAAAACAUGCAAAAAUAGCGAUGACAGAUAAGCAAAUUAGAACCAAUUU
rnacentral:lncRNA from 1 species